UGGACAGAUUAUUGUAUUCGAAUGUAUUCACGGCGUAAAAUAGGGGAUUACACUGUUUUAAAACAGAAAGUGAAUCAAUUAACAUAAUAGACUCCU
rfam:Nicotiana attenuata strain TT scaffold05395, whole genome shotgun sequence.